rnacentral:rRNA from 1 species
GACGAAGGGGGCUAGCGUUGUUCGGAAUUACUGGGCGUAAAGCGAGUGUAGGUGGUUGUCCAAGUUGGAUGUGAAAGCCUUGAGCUCAACUCAAGAAAUGCAUUCAGGACUGGGCGGCUAGAGGACUGGAGAGGAUAGUGGAAUUCCCAGUGUAGUGGUGAAAUACGUAGAGAUUGGGAAGAACACCAGUGGCGAAGGCGGCUAUCUGGACGGUUUCUGACACUAAGACUCGAAAGCGUGGGGAGCAAACAGG